UACGGAGGGAGCUAGCGUUGUUCGGAUAUACUGGGCGUAAAGCGUGCGCAGGCGGUUUCGUAAGUCUGUCGUGAAAUCCCCGGGCUUAACCUGGGAAUGGCGAUGGAGACUGCGAGGCUAGAGUUUGGCAGAGGGGGGUAGAAUUCCACGUGUAGCAGUGAAAUGCGUAGAGAUGUGGAGGAACACCGAUGGCGAAGGCAGCCCCCUGGGUCAAAACUGACGCUCAUGCACGAAAGCGUGGGGAGCAAACAGG
rnacentral:rRNA from 1 species